UGCACAAGUUGCUUCUGGUGAGUCCUAGC
rnacentral:piRNA from 1 species